AAGGAGUUAGUUAAUAAAUAACAUUGGUCCGUCAAGCCAAAAUAAUCAUAAUCAAGAUACUCCUUU
rnacentral:tRNA from 1 species